CAGUAGCCACGGGAAUACGAAGGGUGCAAGCGUUACUCGGAAUUACUGGGCGUAAAGCGCACGCAGGCGGUCUGACAAGUCAGAUGUGAAAUCCCCGGGCUUAACCUGGGAACUGCAUUUGAAACUGUCAGGCUGGAGUCUUGUAGAGGGGGGUAGAAUUCCAGGUGUAGCGGUGAAAUGCGUAGAGAUCUGGAGGAAUACCGGUGGCGAAGGCGGCCCCCUGGACAAAGACUGACGCUCAGGUGCGAAAGCGUGGGGAGCAAACAGGAUUAGAUACCCGCGUAGUCCCUGUCUCUUAUAC
rnacentral:rRNA from 1 species